rnacentral:rRNA from 1 species
UACAGAGGGUGCAAGCGUUAAUCGGAAUUACUGGGCGUAAAGCGUGCGUAGACGGUUAUCUAAGUCGGGUGUGAAAUCCCCGGGCUCAACCUGGGAACUGCAUUUGUGACUGCACGGCUGGAGUGCGGCAGAGGGGGAUGGAAUUCCGCGUGUAGCAGUGAAAUGCGUAGAUAUGCGGAGGAACACCGAUGGCGAAGGCAAUCCCCUGGGCCUGCACUGACGCUCAUGCACGAAAGCGUGGGGAGCAAACAGG